AGUCUACAUAAAGCAGCGGGGGAGGGGACUCCUGCUGCUGCUGCUGCUAAGUCGCUUCAGUCGUGUCCGACUCUGUGCGACCCCAUAGACGGCAGCCCACCAGGCUCCCCCGUCCCUGGGAUUCUCCAGAUGGUUCGGCUACCUUUCCUGCUCUUGGGAAGUGGUCUUCUUUAGGAAACAUGCUGAGGGGCCCAAAGCGCACUCCUCUCGUCACCAGAAGCCUGUGCUCUCGGGUGGCCCACGUGCUCUCGGGGGGCCUGCCUGUCGUGGUGGCAUCUACUGUGACCCAAUCUGCUGCAGUGCCUUCCUCUUGCAGAAGACACCUGGCUGUCUCAAUGUCUCAAACAGAGGCUUCUCUGUGGGCCCGGCCCUGGAGCGAAGAUCUUCACCAAAGGGAGCCAAGUCUGACCCAGCCUGGACCUGCAGCAUGAGCAAGAAGGAAGACUUUCUUGAGUCUCGAGUGAGCUUUGUAAAGGCUUCUUCAGUGACAUUCACCUCUGUGCUCGUGCGCUUAGUCGCUCGGGCGUCUCCGACUCUGUGUGACCCCAUGGACUGUAGCCCGCCAGGCUCCUCUGUCCAUGGGAUUCUCCAGGCAAGAAUGCAGGAGUGGGUUGCCCUGCCGUCCUCCAGGGGAUCUUCCCAACCCAGGGAUAGAACCCAGGUCUCCCACAGUGUGGGAGGAUUCUUUACCGACUGAGCCACUAGGGAAAAGUAGUUAUCUUAGACACAUUCACUUAAGUGAGACCAAAAAUAUUUGCUUGUUACAAAAAUUCCACAACUAUUACUGCAGAGAUCUAGAGCAUAUUGAUUUGUACUCCUUGAUACUUUCCUUUGUAAAUUUGUUAUUCAGGUUUUUAUAUAUUUGCAUAC
ensembl:lncRNA